rnacentral:tRNA from 1 species
CUGGCAAUAGUUUAUAGGUAGAAUGUUUGACUGUUAAUCAGGUGGUGUGAGGAAAGCUUACUUGCUGGGC